rnacentral:sRNA from 1 species
CUCUAGCCCUGAUUGAAGCAAGUAUCCUUUUGUGGCGUUUUCGACACAAAAUAUACUGUGGAAAGCAGGAGGGAAG